GUAGGGUGCAGGCGUUAAUCGGAGUUACUGGGCGUAAAGCGUGCGCAGGCGGCUCCUUAAGUCAGAUGUGAAAUCCCCGGGCUUAACCUGGGAACUGCGUUUGAAACUGGGGAGCUGGAGUGUGGAAGAGGGGGGUGGAAUUCCAGGUGUAGCAGUGAAAUGCGUAGAGAUCUGGAGGAACACCGAUGGCGAAGGCAGCCCCCUGGGCUAACACUGACGCUCAUGCACGAAAGCGUGGGGAGCAAACAGGAUUAGAUACCCUGGUAGUCCACGCCCUAAACGAUGUCAACUGGUUGUCGGGGAAGCAAUUCCUUGGUAACGAAGCUAACGCGUGAAGUUGACCGCCUGGGGAGUACGGCCGCAAGGUUA
rnacentral:rRNA from 1 species